GAUCAUGGCUCAGGAUGAACGCUGGCGGCGCGCCUAACACAUGCAAGUCGAACGGACGAUGAAAAGCUUGCUUUUCAAAGUUAGUGGCGGACGGGUGAGUAACGCGUGGGUAACCUGCCUCACACAGGGGGAUAACAGUUGGAAACGACCGCUAAUACCGCAUAACCCGCUAGGGCCGCAUGGCCCGGACGGAAAAGAUUUAUCGGUGUGAGAUGGACCCGCGUUGGAUUAGCUAGUUGGCAGGGUAAUGGCCU
rnacentral:rRNA from 1 species